GACAGAGGCCUCGAGCGUUAGGCGGAAUCACUGGGCCUAAAGCGUGUGUAGGCGGGCCCGUAAGUGUUUUGUGAAAUCCCACGGCUCAACCGUGGAACUGCUGGGCAUACUGCGGGUCUUGGGCCAACUAGGGGCAGCCGGAACAAGCGGUGGAGCGGUGAAAUGCGUAGAUAUCGCUUGGAACGCCGAAGGUGAAAACAGGCUGCUGGGGUUGCGCCGACGCUGAGACACGAAAGCGUGGGGAGCAAACAGG
rnacentral:rRNA from 1 species